UUUCCGUAGGUGAACCUGCGGAAGGAUCAUUAUUGUAUAACCGAGGUGCGAGGGCUGUCGCUGACCCGAAAGGUCGUGCACGCCCGUGUGCCCUCACACACAUCCAUCUCACCCCCAUGUGCACCACCGCGUGGGUCCCCCUUUGGCUUGUUCGGAGGGGGGCUUACGUUUUCACACAAACUUUGUAUGCAGUGUAGAAUGUAUUUUUUGUUUUUGCGAUCACGCAAUCAAUACAACUUUCAACAACGGAUCUCUUGGCUCUC
rnacentral:misc_RNA from 1 species